AUGGAGACACAACUCGCGGAUCUGAUCCGAUCCGUCAACGAGGGGCGUGCGGCGAACGACGCUCGCCUGGAGGCCAUCCAGGCGUCCCUCGAGCUCUGGAGGCCGGCGGUCUCCAACCUGCAACGCGAGCUCGACGAGCUCCGCACCCAAGUGGGACGGAUCGCCCUCCACCCGGCACUCGCGACGCAAGGCGAGACGGUGGAAGAAGUGGUGGUGCCUCCGGCUCCGUCUCCUCCGAUGAUGGGCCCCGAGCACCACGGGCCAAGUGGCCACGGCGAGAUCUUCAACUCCGGGGGUGGGGCUCACGGGGUGGUCACCACCCUGCAGCCGCCUCCGGUCAAGGGUACGUACCAAUCCCUACCGGAGAACUACGCAUCUGUAGGAGUUGGGUCGAGUCGUAUGAUUAAUUGGGAACCGCCACACGCCACGCAGCAGUCACCGCACACGCAUCACUGGGCGCUACCGAAAUUGGAUUUUCCCCGAUUCGACGGUGAAAACCCACAGUUCUGGAAGUCUAGAUGCGAAAAAUACUUCGAUGUUUAUGGUAUUCAGCCCGAUAUCUGGGUUCGUGUAGCCACCUUACACUUCACAGGCACCGCCGCUCGCUGGCUGCAACUGCACGAAGCAGCGAGUUGCUUGUCCACUUGGGAGGGCCUAUGCACGGCACUGAAGGAGAAAUUUGGUCGAGAUCAGUACCAAAUGCAUCUCCGUCAGUUUAACAUUCUGAAACAGACAGGAUCCGUAGAGGAGUAUAUGGGGCAGUUUGAGGAAUUAAUGCAUCAUAUUCUAGCGCAUAAUUCUGGGUUCGAUCCGAUUUACUUUACAACUCAAUUCCUAGAUGGGUUAAAGGCUGGAAUUCGCGCUGGAGUUGCUUUACAUAGACCGCAAAACUUGGAUUCUGCCUUUUCCUUGGCCCUGUUGCAGGAAGAAUUGGUGGAGGCGAUGCCGCGGCGUGAGCACAGACGGUAUGAUCCAGCGCCGCCAAGACCCCCAGCGCGACCAGCUCCAGCAAUAGCCGGGCCAACGGCGCCGCAGCGCAUACCGUUACCUGCCCCACAAGCAGCAGCGGAGGAUCGCCGGGCGCUGGACGCAGCGCGUGCGGCCGUCCGUCGCCCUGAGCAAGGACGAGGCGAAGAUCGUGUAGCCGCACUCCGCAACUAUCGCAGAGCAAGGGGGCUGUGCUUCAAAUGCGGCGAACGCUGGGGCCAGGGCCAUCAGUGCGCAGCCACCGUCUAG
rnacentral:rRNA from 1 species